rnacentral:rRNA from 1 species
UACGUAGGAUGCAAGCGUUAUCCGGAAUGACUGGGCGUAAAGGGUGCGUAGGUGGUUUGCCAAGUUGGCAGCGUAAUUCCGUGGCUUAACCGCGGAACUACUGCCAAAACUGGUAGGCUUGAGUGCGGCAGGGGUAUGUGGAAUUCCUAGUGUAGCGGUGGAAUGCGUAGAUAUUAGGAGGAACACCAGUGGCGAAAGCGACAUACUGGGCCGUAACUGACACUGAGGCACGAAAGCGUGGGGAGCAAACA